CUCCCUCACUCUGUCACUAGAGUGAUGGGGUGACUAGUGGCAGAGUGAGGGAAGGAAGGCGUGACUAGUGACAGAGUGAGGGAGGUGGUGACUGUCACUAGUCACCAGCUCCCUUACUCUGUCACUAGUCAUCACCUCCCUCUGUCACUACUCCCUCCCUCUUUCUAUCACUAGUCACCCCCUCCGUCCCUCACUCUGUCACCAGUCAUCCCCUCCCUCUGUCACUAGUCACCCCCUCACUCUAGUGACAGAGUGAGGGAGGGUG